rnacentral:lncRNA from 1 species
CAUCCCCCUGUACCCUCCCCAAUUAAUCUACUCAGGGACUGCCGGCCCUUCUGAACCAUCCAAUCAAACUCCAUCAUAUAUAAUUUUUUAUUUUUUUCCCAAUUUUAGAUCAAAAGGAAAAGAAAAGAAAGCUGGGGGCGGGAGAGCGAAAAGUGCCGCCGAAUUCCAGCAGUAGACGAGUGACGUGCCGUAAGGAACCGAGCGCUCCGGAAAAUCCAGACUUUAUGACUAAAAUACCCCUGGUUAUCUGACGCUGUUACUUGCGUAACGGACAAAACGGAGGGCAUUACUGGG